rnacentral:rRNA from 1 species
CAGUAGCCACGGGAAUACGGAGGGUGCAAGCGUUACUCGGAAUUACUGGGCGUAAAGCGUGCGUAGGUGGUGGUUUAAGUCCGUUGUGAAAGCCCUGGGCUCAACCUGGGAAUUGCAGUGGAUACUGGGUCACUAGAGUGUGGUAGAGGAUAGUGGAAUUUCCGGUGUAGCAGUGAAAUGCGUAGAGAUCGGAAGGAACAUCUGUGGCGAAGGCGACUAUCUGGGCCAACACUGACACUGAGGCACGAAAGCGUGGGGAGCAAACAGGAUUAGAUACCCCUGUAGUCCCUGUCUCUUAUAC